CGCGCAGGCGGCGAUCUACGUCUGGGGUGAAAGCCCGGAGCUCAACUCCGGGACUGCCUUGGAUACGGGAUCGCUUGAGGAUUGGAGAGGCAAGGGGAAUUCCACGUGUAGCGGUGAAAUGCGUAGAUAUGUGGAGGAACACCUGUGGCGAAGGCGCCUUGCUGGCCAAUUUCUGACGCUGAGGCGCGAAAGCGUGGGGAGCAAACAGGAUUAGAUACCCUGGUAGUCCACGCCGUAAACGAUGAGUGCUAGGUGUUGGGGGGUACCACCCUCAGUGCCGAAGCUAACGCAUUAAGCACUCCGCCUGGGGAGUACGGUCGCAAGACUGAA
rnacentral:rRNA from 1 species